ensembl:lncRNA
CUCAAAGACUGUGAAUGUCUCUACAAUUUUAACUGAGCUCAACCGUCUGUCUUUUUAUUUUUAUGCUUUUCUGCUUCUGCAAUGAAGAAUGUACCCCACAGAAAUACUAGUACUUUCUCCCAAUCCCUACCCCUUCACCCUAACCAGGAUAACUUCAGACUGGGUUUGAGAGAACUGUGAGAACUAAAAGCUAAUUUUCCUGGCUUAGAAAUUGUACGAUGACAUGUGCACAUCAUGACUUGUCCGUGGGAAUUGCCUUCCUCACUUUAAAUGUAAUCUUCAUGAUCCCAAUCCCAUUUCUGCUUAUGUUUUAUCAGAGACUGAUCUCAUCUUAGCCCAAUUUUGCUUCAGUCCUAAAAUAAUUUUCUGUUUAUGUUAAAAUCAUAGUAUCUUUAUAUGAAUAUUAAUGAGUAUGUUUCUAAAUCUCCACAUUGAGUGACAGAAAACAUUUACGAGGGGGAAAAAGAAAGUUCUUAGUCCAAAUGUGUCGGACAGAAUGAGAAGUUUUCCCAAGAGGCUGGCCUCUGAUGUUUGCACAUUCAGCCUGAGUAAACCACAUAAAUUAUACUCUGGGCACUGAAGGUGGUAGAAACAUCCUGUCAUUUCUUCAUAUGCCAAAAUGUCUGAUUGUAUCAACAAUUUGUACAGAUUGCUGAGAGUUUUCUUUCUAGAUCUUCUCUCCUCUUCUUUAUUUUCUGCUGCUUUAUUAAGACAGAUCUACAGUACAGGACAAGCAUUGGGUUGAAAGCUGGAUCACGUGAAUUCCUAGUUGUAGACCUUCUGCUGAAAAACAGGACACACAGAAGGUGAUAUCUAUGAAAAAUGGUCCCUCACCAGACGUGGGACCUGCUGGAACCUUUAUUUUGGACUUCCCAACCUCCAGAACUAUGAACAAUAAAUUGGUUUAUAAAUUACCCAGUCUAAGAGGAGAGAAUUUCAAAGUGAAGAGAUUACUUGAGAAAGCAUAAAAAGGUAAGAGAGCUGGGAACAAUAGUACAGACAGCUAAUACCUUCUGAAUGAUUAUUAUGUGCUAUGGUGUGAAUGUACCCUCCCAAAAUUCAUAUGUUGAAACUUAAUCACCAAUGUGAUAGUUUUUAGAGGUGGGAUAUUUAGGAUGUGAUUAAAUCAUGAGGGUGGAGCCCUCACGAAUGGGAUUAGCUCCCUUAUAAAACAGGUGUGAGGCAGCUGUCUACUGCCCUUUGACCCUUCUGUCCUUUCUGCCACGUGAGGAUACAGUAUCUCUUUCUUCUUGAGGAUGCAACAGCAAGGCACCAUCACGGAAGCAGAAAGCAGCUCUCACCAGAAACAAAACCUCUGGGUUCCUUGAUCUUGGACUCCCCAGCCUCCACAACUGUGAAAAAUACGUUUCUACUGCUUAUAAAUUACCCGGUCUGUGGUAUUUUGUUGUAGUUGCACAGACGGGCUAAGACAUUAUGUGUCAAGCACUACUUUAAGUGUUUAAUACAUUAACUCAUUUAAUCCUUGCAAUAGCUAUUAGGUUGGUACAAAAGUAACUGUGGUUUUUGCCAAUUACUUUUGCACCAACCUA